rnacentral:piRNA from 1 species
UGCUCCCAAAUAUGUGAUGCUACUGCUGGU